rnacentral:rRNA from 1 species
CGCCUGCAAAUACUCCUGCAGGUAGACUCUGCCCAAUGAGUUUUUAAUGGCCGCAGUACCCUGACUGUGCUAAGGUAGCAUAAUAAUUUGCCUCUUAAUUGGGGGCUGGAAUGAACGAGCUGACGAAGAGAAAACUGUCUCUAAGGGGCCAAUAAAAAUUUAUACCUAAGUAAAAAAGCUUAGAUCCUAUAGGGGGACGAUAAGACCCUAAAAGCUUACCCUAAAAGGCAACUAUAACUCUAUAAAAUUGAUUGCCUAUGCAGGGUUUUGCUGGGGCGGCAACUCUACAAACAAGAGGCUUAAAACCACAUUAAGUGAAUUCCCCAACCCUUAUUUAAGUAUCUAUUCUAAGUUACUUUAGGGAUAACAGCAUAAUUUUCUGCUAAAGUCCUUAUUGACCAGAAAGAUUGUGACCUCGAUGUUGAAUUGAAUUUCCUCUUUGGAGCAGUAUCUAAAAGAGGAAGACUGUUCGUCUUUUAAAUAUUCACG